GAUGGAACGUAGCGAAAUGCGAUACGUAAUGUGAAUUGCAAAUUCAGUGAAUCAUCGAGUCUUUGAACGCACAUUGCGCCCCCUGGUAUUCCGGGGGGCAUGCCUGUCCGAGCGUCAUUGCUGCCCUCAAGCACGGCUUGUGUGUUGGGCCCCGUCCUCCGAUCCCGGGGGACGGGCCCGAAAGGCAGCGGCGGCACCGCGUCCGGUCCUCGAGCGUAUGGGGCUUUGUCACCCGCUCUGUAGGCCCGGCCGGCGCUUGCCGAUCAACCCAAAUUUUUAUCCAGGUUGACCUCGGAUCAGGUAGGGAUACCCGCUGAACUUAAGCAUAUCAAUAAGCGGAGGA
rnacentral:misc_RNA from 1 species